GACAGAGGGUGCAAACGUUGUUCGGAAUUACUGGGCGUAAAGCGCGUGUAGGCUGCUUGGAAAGUCGGAUGUGAAAGCCCUGGGCUCAACCUAGGAAGUGCAUUCGAAACUUCUGAGCUGGAGUUCUGGAGAGGAAGGCGGAAUUCUCGGUGUAGCGGUGAAAUGCGCAGAUAUCAGGAAGAACACCGAUGGCGAAGGCAGUUCUCUGGGACGGUACUGACGCUGAGACGCGACAGCAUGGGGGAGCAAACAGG
rnacentral:rRNA from 1 species